rnacentral:tRNA from 1 species
GAAGAUGCAGCUCAGUUGGUAGAGUGUUUGUCUAGCGUGCACAAAACCCUGGGUUCAAUCCUCAGCACUGCA